rnacentral:ribozyme from 1 species
CCCUGAUAACGGGGGACACCUCAUCGUGGUAUCAGGGUCCAGUACCCACUCUCUCUGUGGGGAAGCCAAGCAGCCCCU